UACGUAGGUGGCAAGCGUUGUCCGGAUUUACUGGGCGUAAAGAGCGCGUAGGCGGUCUUGUAAGUCUCGUGUGAAAUCCCUCGGCUUAACUGAGGAACUGCACGGGAUACUGCAUGACUUGAGAUCGGGAGAGGGAAGCGGAAUUCCGGGUGUAGCGGUGAAAUGCGUAGAGACGUGGAGGAACACCGAUGGCGAAGGCAGCCUUCUGGGCCAAUACUGACGCUCAUGCACGAAAGCGUGGGGAGCAAACAGG
rnacentral:rRNA from 1 species